GAUGAACGCUGGCGGCGUGCCUAAUACAUGCAAGUCGAACGCACCGAGAAGGGGACUUGUUCCUUUCAACGCGAGUGGCGAGCGGGUGAGUCACACGUGGGAAACCUACCCUUCAGUGGGGGAUAACCAUCGGAAACGAUGACUAAUACCUCAUUGUUGUUCCAGUCGCAUGACUGGAAUGGGAAAGGCGGCUUCUGUCGUCACUGGAGGAUGGUGCCGCGGUGCAUUAGCUUGACGGUGGGGUAACGGCCUACCGUGGCAAUGAUGCGUAGCCGACCUGAGAGGGUGAUCGGCCACACUGGAACUGAGACACGGCCCAGACUCCUACGGGAGGCAGCAGUAGGGAAUCUUCCGCAAUGGACGCAAGUCUGACGGAGCAACGCCGCGUGUGUGAAGAAGGUCUUCGGAUCGUAAAGCACUGUUAUCAGAGAAGAAUAACCUAGUGAGUAACUGUUCUAGGUUUGACGGUACCUGAUCAGAAAGCCACGGCUAACUACGUG
rnacentral:rRNA from 1 species